UACGGAGGGUGCGAGCGUUGUCCGGAAUCACUGGGCGUAAAGGGCGCGUAGGUGGCGAGGCAAGCGUGCGGUGAAAGCUCGGGGCUCAACCCCGAGUCGGCCGUGCGAACUGCUUUGCUUGAGCACUGUAGAGGCAGGCGGAAUUCCGGGUGGUAGCGGUGGAAUGCGUAGAGAUCCGGAAGAACACCGGUGGCGAAGGCGGCCUGCUGGGCAGUAGCUGACACUGAGGCGCGGACAGCGUGGGGAGCAAACAGG
rnacentral:rRNA from 1 species